GGGAAGUUGGUUUUAUCAAGGAAACACCUAAAGGCAGACGCAGAGGUCACUUUAACAGGAAAAUGUAAGAAAGAGAUAUUCUUUCACUCUGGAGAUGAUGUGCUUGAAGAGUAUGAAGUCACCAUUACAUUAAGUGGGAUGAGAAGAGCUCUGUUAGGACACAUACCAGAAACAAGGGAGGAGUCCAACCUCAAUGUAGAGAGAGAUCAGUACGCACUUGGAAUUAUGACUUUGUUUCUGUUGUUAAAAGACUAAUUUUCCAGUAAGACUGACUUUCUUUUUACAAUAUAUAUACAUACAUUUACAGUGAAUUAAAUGAUUUUCCUUAAAAGAGUAAGUCACCCAAAAAUGAAAAUCGAGUCAACAUUUACUUAGCCUUGGCCUUGUGUUGCUUUAAUGCCAAAUGCCUUUCUUUCUUUUUUGGACCACAAAAGGAGAUUAAAAAA